AAUAAUGAGUGCACUUUAUUGUGGCUCUAAAAUUUUCAAUAAAUUUCACCCAUUUUAAACCCAAAGCUGUUAUGUGUACCUCUUUUGGUAUAACAUCUCAGUAGUACGCAUCAUGUGGGAUCUUUUUCUCACAAGUUGCAUUACCCCCCCUUAUAAGUGACCCACUUUAUCUCAAUUACUCUAAAAUGUUUUAGGAAUGUAAAUGCCCCUUUAAUUAUAUAUAACUUUUAACAAUGGAUCUCUUGGCUCUCACAUCGAUGAAGAACACAGUGAAAUGUGAUAAGUAAUGUGAAUUGCAGAAUUCAGUGAAUCAUCGAAUCUUUGAACGCACCUUGCACCUUUUGGUUAUUCCGAAAGGUACACCUGUUUGAGUGUCAUGAAACCCUCUCAUUCCAAUUCUUUAUUUAUUUAAAGGGUUGUGAUAUGGAUGUUGAGUGCUGCCGUUAUUGGCUCGCUUUAAAUAUAUAAGUACUUUUAUCGAAAAAUAAAUGGAUUUACUUGGUGUAAUAUUUAUUAUUCAUUGAGGAGUGUGGUUUAAUUACUGCAGCCAUUUGCCUUUUGAUAGAUAGCUUCCGAACCCCAAUUAUAUGAAUUUAGACCUCAAAUCAGGUGGGACUACCCGCUGAACUUAAGCAUAUCAAUAAGCGGAGGAAAAGAAACUAACAAGGAUUCCCCUAGUAACGGCGAGUGAAGAGGGAAAAGCC
rnacentral:rRNA from 1 species